AGCGAACGCUGGCGGCAGGCUUAACACAUGCAAGUCGAGCGGGCAUCUUCGGGUGUCAGCGGCGGACGGGUGAGUAACGCGUGGGAACGUGCCCUCUGGUCCGGAAUAACUCAGGGAAACUUGAGCUAAUACCGGAUACGCCCUUUUGGGGAAAGGCUUGCUGCCGGAGGAUCGGCCCGCGUCUGAUUAGCUAGUUGGUGAGGUAACGGCUCACCAAGGCGACGAUCAGUAGCUGGUCUGAGAGGAUGAUCAGCCACACUGGGACUGAGACACGGCCCAGACUCCUACGGGAGGCUG
rnacentral:rRNA from 1 species